UACGGGGGGAGCAAGCGUUGUUCGGAUUUACUGGGCGUAAAGGGCGCGUAGGCGGUCAGCACAAGUCAGUUGUGAAAUCUCCGGGCUUAACUCGGAAAGGUCAACUGAUACUGUGCGACUAGAGUGCGGAAGGGGCAACUGGAAUUCUCGGUGUAGCGGUGAAAAUGCGUAGAUAUCAAGAGGAACACCUGCGGCGAAGGCGGGUUGCUGGGCCGACACUGACGCUGAGGCGCGAAAGCCAGGGGAGCGAACGGG
rnacentral:rRNA from 1 species